CAAACUCUCGACCUGGACCUGUGCAACCUUGCACUCCUCCGAUCCGAUCGUCUCCAGUGCCGAUGACCAUUGCGGCAGAAACACCGAAGCUCAACAGGAGGAGAGAUCAACAACUUAGGGUCGUUGACACCACCAUCUGCAACAGGCACGCCAGGUUCAAUUCCAAAUGUCUCUCACUAUCUCCCUAUCAAGUUGAAUAGCGACAACUACCUGCUAUGGUGAGCACAGCUUCUUCCCAUUCUCCGUACUCACAAACUCAUGGGUAACAUAGAAGGGAAGACUCUUGCUCCUCUUAAAGAAAUUGAUGAUCCUGAGGAUCCAUUAAGGAAGACUAUCAAUCCAGCAUUCGAUCACUGGUAUCAACUGGAUCAACUAGUACUCAGUUGGGUUGUUUCUUCACUUACUGAGGGUAUCCUAGCUCAGGUCGUAGGUAUGUCCUCAUCCUCUGAAGUUUGGAAUGCGUUGGAGUCCUUUGCUUCCCACUCACGUUCCAAAGUCUUGCAAUUGAAGAGACAACUCUAGAGUAUCAAGAAAUGUACUCUUUCUAUUUUUGAAUACAUACAGAAGGCCAAAAGUAUUGCUGACAACCUUUAUGUUGUUUUUGAACCUAUCUCUCGACAAGAUCUUGUUAUGUGUAUUUUGAGCAGACUUGGAUUUGAAUAUGAGUCCAUUAUUAUUGCUAUUGCUAAUAGACCUGAUUUGAUAGACUGAGGAUUGCUGAUGUUGUUGGUCAAUUAAUCAUGAGUCUUGGCUCAAAGAAAAUAGAGGCGGUCGUGGGAACCAAAAUGAUGGUUUCAAAAGAGGUCGUGGACCUAGCAAUAUUGUCUGUCAGUUGUGCAACAUUCCUGGCCAUGGUGUUUGGAAGUGUAGACGCAGUUUGAUCCGGCCUGGUAUUCGGACUCUGGAGCCACGCACCACAUCACAUCCGAUCUGGACAAUUUGUAGAUUUGAUCAGACUAUGGAGGGUCUGACCAGGUGAAAGUUGGUAAUGGUGCAGGUUUGGAAAUUAAGAAUAUUGGUUCUUUUGUCAUUUCUCAUGAUAAAAAUAAAUUUUUAUCAUGAUAUUUAUCAUGUUCCCUCUAUUACAAAGAACCUAUUUUCUGCCAGCAAAUUUAUCAAAGAUAACAAUGUUGUCUUUGAAUUUCAUCAUUUGUAUUUUCUCUUGAAGGAUCAUAUGGGGAGAGUUCUACUCUGCGGGCCUAAUAAAGGUGAACUCUAUCAGUUUCCCACUUUAGCAUCCAUUCCUUCAUCUUCCGAUAGUACUGCAUUUUUUGGUGAGAAAGCAUCAGUUCGAAUUUGGCAUCAUUGACUUAGGCAUGCUUCAAUUAAAGCAGUUCGACAAGUGUUGUCUCAAUUCGGUCUUCCUUAUCAUGGUUUGUUUGAUAUUUCAGUUUGUCAUGCUUGUCAGUUAGGAAAAAGUCAUCGUCUACCCCUCCCUAGUUCAUUAUCGUCUUACAUUAGUCCUUUAAAACUUAUUUAU